GAUGAACGCUGGCGGCGUGCUUAACACAUGCAAGUCGAACGGAAAGGCCGAAGCUUGCUUCGGUACUCGAGUGGCGAACGGGUGAGUAACACGUGGGUGAUCUGCCCUGUACUUCGGGAUAAGCUUGGGAAAUUGGGUCUAAUACCGGAUAUGACGAUCUCUUGGAUGGGGUUGUGGAAAGCUUUUGCGGUAUGGGAUGAGCUCGCGGCCUAUCAGCUUGUUGGUGGGGUAAUGGCCUACCAAGGCGUCGACGGGUAGCCGGCCUGAGAGGGUGUACGGCAACAAUGAGGCUGAGGAAAGGCCCAGACAACUACGGGAGGAAGCAGUGGGGAAUAUUGAACAAUGGGCGCAAGACUGAUGCAACGACACGGCGUGGGGGAUGAAGGCCUUCGGGUUGUAAACUCCUGUAGCAAUGGACGAAGACUUUUGGUGACGGUAGGUUGAGAAGAAGCACCGGCUAACUACGUG
rnacentral:rRNA from 1 species